CCAAUUCUUCAGAGAGAAGCUCCGCACUCCCGACCGAAUCACUGAAGAGUUCGCUCAUUUGCAGGGUACUAGGAUAACACCAUCUCAGAUGGCUAGAAGCUGCAAAGUGGCUUUUGAUAGCGUCAACAUAAGNNNNNNNNNNNNNACCUUUUGACCAAAAUAGGGUUAUUCUUAAUCCAUGCAAGGAUUAUAGACCAUCUGCUAAGGGAUAUAUAAAUGCGAGCUUCAUCACGACUUCUUCAUCUGAAAGCAUUUCUCGGUUUAUA
rnacentral:misc_RNA from 1 species